UAUAAUUUAUUUUAAAGGAAUAUUAAAUUUUGAUUUUAGAGGAAACAGUGCGAGUCUGUUAAUUAUAA
rnacentral:tRNA from 1 species